rnacentral:lncRNA from 10 species
UCAAAACCAGCCCUAACAAUUUUUAUACAACUUUUAAAUAAAAACAGUGGAAAAUACAAUAAAUAAGUCCUCUAAAUAAAGCUGUGGUAUGAAGUUUAAAUGCCCCAAGUCAGAAGUCAAUUGGAUGUCUCUGUCUGAGCUGAGAGCACAUGACAUACAACGAAACCACAUGGACAGACACAACCCCGAAUGCCAAUUCCAGUGUCCUGUGCAGUGAUGACCACACUGUUAGAAGCAUUUUAACUCUUGUUUUUACAAACUUUCUUUUUACAUAUAUGUUAGCGGUCAAAGAACUCUGUUUUUCUUGGUCCAAACCAGAGGAAAUUUAUUGUCCAAACCAGACCCACCCCAAUGCAUUUGCCUCUGAUGUGAGAAAGAAACACUAGGGCUUCAACCAGAUGAGGGGCGUUUAGGAAAACCCACAGCUGAAGUCACAUUCAAUGCGGAACACUGGGCACCUCCCCCUAAGGUCAGGAACAAGACGAGGGUGUCCGCUCUUAUUCCUUUCAGCCUCGGCACUGAUGGUCCUAGGGCAACUCUAUGUUGACGCCUCUGAGGAACUGCCGGGCUGCAGUGAAUCCAGGUGACCUCACAGAAACUUGUAUGUGAGCAUUCGCAGCGGCAUCAUUCACAGUGGCCAGGAGGUGGAAACAACCCCGAUGUCCAUCAACUGAUGAACCAACCGAUGAACACAGGGUGACCUGUCCAUACAGUGGGGUCUCAGCCACAGAGGGAGCAAGGCCGUGAAACCUGCAGCGGGAGCAAGGCGGUGAAACCCGCAGAGGGAGCAAGGCCGUGAAACCCGCAGCGGGAGCAAGGCAGUGAAACCCUCAGAGGGAGCAAGGCCGUGAAACCCGCAGCGGGAGCGAGGCGCGGAAACAGGCCAUGACACGGACGAGCCACACCAUGGAUGACCCCACGGACACGCCACCAAAGCACCAUCAUGCUGAGUGACAGAAGCCAGGCACCCAGACCAUGCACCGUAUGAUUCCUUUCACGUGAAAUUUCCAGAACAGGGAAAUGCAGAGCGACAGAAAGCAGGUUAGAGGUUCCAGGGGCUGGGGGUUGGGGGAAUGGGGAGAGACUACUUAACAGGCAGAGACUUGUUUUUGGGGUGGUGAAAAUGUUCUAAACUGACUAUGGCUGCACAACUCUGUGAACACACUAAAAACACUGGCUUGGACAACCUAAAUGGUCGGAUGCUGACUUAGGUCUCAAUAAAGCUAAAAAAUAAGGUG